GCUGUGUGGUUUUCUGCAGAGUCCACUCUGUGGUCUGCAGACUCUGAGGUUGGAGAGAUGCAGUUUGUCAAAGAUCAGCUGUUCUUCUCUGGCCUCAGCUCUAAAUUCCAACCCCUCCCACCUGAAGGAGCUCUACCUGAGUGUCAACCAUCUGCAGGAUCCAGAUGUGCAGCAGCUGGUUGAUCUACAGCAGAGUCCAGACUGCAGCCUGCAGACUCUGAGGUGGAUCUGACAGCAGAGAGGAGGCUGUGUGUCCUGAAAACCACCACCAUGAAAUAGAAAUAGAAAAGCCAAAUAUUCAGUUUUAUCAGUAAACAAACUCACAUGAAAUCAAAAGAUACAAUGAAAUAUAUUCACCAUGUGUCUGCAGGCUAAACGUUCAGGAGUGGUUAGUCCAUUUUGACAGUGUUUUCUCCAGAGAGGUUUUCCUGUGUCCCUGCAGUCUCAUUCUCUCCUUCCCCCCCGAAAGUUCAUAUCCCCACACUUUGCAGAACGAGCAUGCAGUGUGCGCUAGGGGUGUGGAUCUCCAUUACUGUGGCUAUUAGAUAUGCAUCUCAAUGCCCUGCCAACAAUACGAUAUAAUUUGCGAUACACUGAAUCCCUGCCGAUACGAUACUUACGAUGAAUGAUGAUUCACCGUCCAUCCCAAUUCGAUACGAUUCACCCCUCAUCCUGAUAAGAUGUAUGAUUCACUGUUCCCGAUACGAUGCGAUACACCUGUUUGCGAUGCGAUUUAGUAAAUUAGUUCAAUCAAAUGCAGUUCAAUGUGAAGCAAAAAAUAUAUCAUGUUAUCUAUUCAGCAAACAAAAAAAUAAGACGAUGGCAAUUCAUUCAGUAUGUUAAAAUCGGCUGGGUUUAUUCCUUAGAAGUAGAAAAUGGAACAAAAAAGUGCUUAUUGUCUGAACAAAUAUUCCUUGUAGUCUCUCUACCAGUACUAUGUAUUACUUACUAUGUAUUACUCUCCUGUAACAAUAAGAAAAAACAAAAACAACUAAAAGAUUUCUAUAAGAUGCUUUAAGUGUAAACGGUACAGUAACAGUAAUACCACAUCACUCUCAAUGAGUGACUUCAGGUGACGCUUUGCAGUGUCCAUAUCCCUGUCUCCCAGACAGUUUAGAAGCACGGCAUUCUUUACAAAUAACGUCCGUCUUGUCAAGUUUUCCAUCUUUCUUGUGAAAUCCAUAGUACUUCCAAACGAUGGAUUUGAACUUUGAGGGUGCGUUAAAAGACAUAUUCAAGGAUUCUCCGCCGCAUGUGCGGCUCCCUCCGCAUGAGGACUGUCGGGAGCGCGCACGUCAGCCGCAUGUCAGUUUGUUUACAUACGCGCAUCGUCUUUCCGAGUUGGAACCAUACAGGGCUGAUUGGUUCGCAGGAUCCUUCAGUAUGUCUUUAAAAAUCUUGUAACUUUGCGCUGCCGCUACUGCACUCCGCCAUGUUGUUGUAACUUGUAGUACAGUGUGUGUGUGUGUGUGUGUGUGUGUGUGCGCGCGCAUGCGGCUUCCGUCCAUCUUUGGGAAUGAUGGUGCAUUCAAGACGCCUCGGAAACACAAGACAGAAUGCAGUACAACGUGUAAAAACCGAUGUAACUUUGAAGAUUACCGAUUAGGCACACAGCGAACGAUGCAUCAUGAUUAUAAGCCGUCAUCGCAUCGAUACACACUGAAUGAAUCAAUACACUCGUAUCUCGCACGUAUGUGUCUCGAUCACGAUCGAUAUCGAUUAAUCUCCACUGGGGGUGUCCUCAAAUAUUAGACGAUUCGAUGAUUCGUUCAAAGGGGCCUGAUUCGAAGGCCAAUCAUACAGUCGAAGCAUCGCAAAAAUGUGGUUAUGAAACGAGGACCAUUC